GGUUGAGAAGGGAAUUGAAGUCAGUUGGCUGCUUUGUGAAGAAGUAAGAGGCAGUGCUUGAAGGAGCAGCCAACAAGAGCCACCAAGAAGAAACCAGACUUUGCAAGUUUGACCUGAGGAUGAAAUACUCUGAAAGAAAUUUUACUGCAUUAUACUACUUUUUAUGGAACUUCUGGAUACCUGAGUUUCCUUUGCAAUUUCAUAGGAUUUCAAAGUGGUCAGAAGUCCAAGGCUUGCUUUUGGUCCAGCAAAGAUAUCCUGAGCUGUAAAGAAACGUUUAAGAUCUCCUCUGACACUAGAAGUCUUUGCUUUAGUAACCCCCAAGGCCUGGAUCCCUUGGGGACAUGGACCCCACGCCCACAAAGUUUUGUGAGUAUUUAAUUCCCUUUAGGAAAAGGGAAACUCACCUCCCUGCAAAGGAGCAGCACACACGGAAACCAGGGCACUGCUGGCAGGAUAUGAGGUGUGAGGGAGCUUCAAGCCUUCCCUGUUCAGACCCCAAAGAAGCAUCUGAGAGUCUUGCUGGAUUGUGAAGAACAAGAAGGUGACAUAGAAAACUUCCAGGACUUGGUCUCCAUUAAAAGAAAUGAUCAAGUUUGUGCUCCAACAGUUCAAGAUUUUCAAAAACAUGCUGCUAUUUUAAUGUUCAUGGUAUUUUCCCCCUAAAUAUUUAGACUGUGUCAUGGCAACAGCUGCUUUUAGUUCUAAAUUUGUUUUGCCAUCCUUCAUUUAAGAAAAAAAAUGGCAGUUUCAAUUUUUUCCCCUUAAAUGUAAAAUUCAGUAUUUUAAACUUAACUAUAAACAGCUAUACCAAUGGUUUGUGGUCUGCUUUGGAUUCUCUAUGUAAACGGAAAUUACCAUACUGAUUGCUAUUCAUUAUGAAGAGGCACCUAAAACUAUAAGAUAAAGGCAAAUAUAAAGUAUGCACAAUGCGUGUUGUAGGUUUUUUGGAAGCGGGAUGGCAAGUAGAGGGUAAGUAGCAAAAUUAGUAUUCUCAGUACAUAUUUAAAAAUCAAGAAGUAAGCUAAAAAUAAUUGUAUCAUAACAGGGGCAAUCAAUGGUCCAAUUUUUUCCAGUGCAUGAGUGCAAAGCGGAUUGAAUAACUGAAUGUACAAAUUCUUGAUAUUAACAACUGAACGUUUUAUUGCCCAAGACAGAGCUAAGGAAAAGGACAUUAAAGAUCCUUAAAUGUAACUAUUAACAAAUGUAGCACAAUUAAUUGUUGCUGCUGUCAUUAUUGCUAGUAUAUUUGAAGAGUGCUGGAAGAAAAAUGUAGUGGAUUCCACAACAUGUAGUUUCUGAGUGCAUUUGGAUGAUUUCUUACCUUGGUCAAAAUAAGAGACUUAAUUCUGUUGCAGAAAUCCUACAUUUCUUUUUAGAGUAGUCUGAUCAGCAAGUAAAUCAGUCAAAUUUAAUGAAAAAAGUGCAUGCAAGUCUUUUGCCUACAUAAGCAAUACACAGGUCCUUAAUGGGUAUUUUAUUAAAAAAUAAACUGUUCUACUCAAAUUCUGAUUACCAACUGAUUAUUAUAAAUAUUUAUUCAACUUACAUAUAUUUAUAAGGGAACGGGACAAUGUACAGAUAGAAAAAGGUGCAAUGACUUAAUAUAAAAAGGAAACUGUUUUGACCUUUUAAAAAAUUUAAGUCUGAGAAAACCCUACUACUCUACUACCUAGUAGUAGUGAGACUUUACAGUAGAGCUGAAAUAUGCUGCUAGUUUUAGCUCUGAAGUGCCACUGCUUUAUGCAGGAUGGUUAAGGCAAGAUAUGUACUAAUGGCUGAUGGACAACAAAGAGAUUUAUAAUUGGAUUGUGCUUAUGAUCAAGAAACUACACCUUGCCACAGGAGGAACACACAAAACAGACAUACAGAUAUUUCAUACCAGUUAAUUCUGUACCACUCUUUCCCCUAUUUGUUUCAAAGCGAGAGUAUGAAUCUAUACAUGCUACUGUGUGUAUUGAUUUGCACAGAACCUGCUGGAUGCUUGAUCCAGGAAAGCUCCUUUCACUCCCUUAGUGGAAGUAACCAUACCAUUAAAGUUACAGUUUGUCAUAUGUGCAUCCUCCUCUGAAUCAGGGCUGUAAGCAUUGAAUAGG